AUUGAACGCUAGCGGGAUGCCUUACACAUGCAAGUCGAACGGCAGCGCGGACUUCGGUCUGUCGGCGAGUGGCGAACGGGUGAGUAAUGUAUCGGAACGUGCCCAGUAGCGGGGGAUAACUACUCGAAAGAGUAGCUAAUACCGCAUACGCCCUACGGGGGAAAGGGGGGGCUCGAAAGACCUCUCACUAUUGGAGAGGCCGCUAUCGGAUUGGCUAGUUGGUGAGGUAAAGGAUCACCAAGGCGACGAUCCGUAGCUGGGUUGAGAGGACGACCAGCCACACGGGGACUGGGACAAGGCCCAGACUCCUACGGGAGGCAGCAGUGGGGAAUUUUGGACAAUGGGGGCAACCCUGAUCCAGCCAUUCCGCGUGUGCGAUGAAGGCCUUCGGGGUGUAAAGCACUUUUGGCAGGAAAGAAAUCGCACGGAUUAAUACUCUGUGUGGAUGACGGUACCUGCAGAAUAAGCACCGGCUAACUACGUGCCAGCAGCCGCGGUAA
rnacentral:rRNA from 1 species